AGCACUAUAUUUAAACCUGUGGAUGGAAAUUUUUCCCAUUCCUGGUUACGCUGUAGUGCAAAAUAAUUCCUGGCUCUUUGUGUUACACAGCUGACUUUGUGCCAUUCUGCUGUUGAUCUGUAGAGUUACGGAACAUAA
ensembl:snoRNA